rnacentral:rRNA from 1 species
UACGUAGGGUGCGAGCGUUGUCCGGAAUUACUGGGCGUAAAGAGCUCGUAGGUGGUUUGUCGCGUUGUUCGUGAAAACUCACAGCUUAACUGUGGGCGUGCGGGCGAUACGGGCAGACUGGAGUACUGCAGGGGAGGACUGGAAUUCCUGGUGUAGCGGUGGAAUGCGCAGAUAUCAGGAGGAACACCGGUGGCGAAGGCGGGUCUCUGGGCAGUAACUGACGCUGAGGAGCGAAAGCGUGGGGAGCGAACAGG